CGCGUAGGCGGCUCGGUAAGUCUGGAGUGAAAGUCCUGCUUUUAAGGUGGGAAUUGCUUUGGAUACUGUCGGGCUUGAGUGCAGGAGAGGUUAGUGGAAUUCCCAGUGUAGCGGUGAAAUGCGUAGAGACUGGGAGGAACACCAGUGGCGAAGGCGACUAACUGGACUGUAACUGACGCUGAGGCGCGAAAGUGUGGGGAGCAAACA
rnacentral:rRNA from 1 species